GCAUGGGCCUAAACACGCUCAAUGCACCAGAUCCCACCUGACUUUGGAAGCUAAGCAGGGCCAGCCUUGGUCAGGAUUUGGAUGGGAGACCGCCAAGGAAGCCCAGAUGCUGGAGGCA
rnacentral:rRNA from 11 species